rnacentral:rRNA from 1 species
AUACGUAGGUGGCGAGCGUUGUCCGGAAUUACUGGGUGUAAAGGGCGUGUAGGCGGGGAGGCAAGUCAGAUGUGAAAUACCGGGGCUUAACUCCGGGGCUGCAUCUGAAACUGUUUUUCUUGAGUGCCGGAGAGGAAAGCGGAAUUCCCAGUGUAGCGGUGAAAUGCGUAGAUAUUGGGAGGAACACCAGUGGCGAAGGCGGCUUUCUGGACGGUAACUGACGCUGAGGCGCGAAAGCGUGGGGAGCAAACAGGAUUAGAUACCCUGGUAGUCCACGCCGUAAACGAUGGAUACUAGGUGUAGGAGGUAUCGACCCCUUCUGUGCCGGAGUUAACACAAUAAGUAUCCCACCUGGGGAGUACGGCCGCAAGGUUGAA